CAACUGUGGUCACAAGUAAGCGACUCUUUUUGGGGUCUUUUUCUAGGUCCUUCAGCCCAUGGACAGGGUUUGGAAAAAGAGGUGGACUAUCUCGACUUCCCAGGAAGCUCAUGGCUCACUAUGUCAGCUCCAGCAUCCGCAGAAGCAGAACGGAAGGUCCGAAAGCAUCUGGCCUCCUCCUCAGAGCCAAUCCUGGAUCUCAAGACAGAAGCUGAAGCUGGGCUUCCAGGUGAGGAAGUGGUUGAUUUCCCACCUGUAGAGAGAACAGGAGACAAGAAGCACCUGGAGAAAAUCCCACAGCCUCUCUCACUGGAAGGGCAUGCUUUUGAUACACACAGCAGGGGCAGGAGAUUUGGCAUCCAAUGAGAGAUCUAGCAAUAUCCAGACGUCCUAUUCAGAAUUUUGAAAAUGUUUUGAAAAUUCAAUUUUUAAUCUUUUUUAAAAAAAUAAUAAAAGCCUGCUUCUUGCCUCCCUGCCAUAGGGAGCAUUUGCCA